rnacentral:rRNA from 1 species
GAUGAACGCUGGCGGCGUGCUUAACACAUGUAAGUCGUACGGUGAAGCCCACUUCGGUGGGCGGAACAGUGGCGGACUGGUGAGUAACACGUAGGUGACCUGCCCCAAAGAGGGGAAUAACCUUGCGAAAGCAGGGCUAAUACCCCGUGUGAUCGGUGAUUCGAUGCACUGAUUAAAGCUUCGGCGCUUUGGGAGGGGCCUGCGGCCCAUCAGCUAGUUGGUAGGGUAAUGGCCUACCAAGGCGGAGACGGGUAGCUGGUCUGAGAGGACGAUCAGCCACAAUGGCACUGAAACACGGGCCAUACUCCUACGGGAGGCAG